UACAGAGGGUGCGAGCGUUACUCGGAAUUACUGGGCGUAAAGCGCACGUAGGUGGCGACGUAAGUCGGGUGUGAAAGCCCCGGGCUCAACCUGGGAAUUGCAUUCGAGACUGCAUUGCUGGAGUACGGAAGAGGAAGGCGGAAUUCCCGGUGUAGCGGUGAAAUGCGUAGAUAUCGAGAGGAACACCUGCGGCGAAGGCGGGUUGCUGGGCUGACACUGACGCUGAUGCGCGAAAGCUAGGGGAGCGAACGGG
rnacentral:rRNA from 1 species